GUCUACGGCCAUGCCACCCUGAACACGCCCGAUCUCCUCUGAUCUCGGAAGCUAAACAGGGUCGGGCCUGGUUAGUACUUGGAUGGGAGACUCCAUUCUUAAAAAGCACAUGGAUUUUUUUUU
rnacentral:rRNA from 1 species